rfam:Ictidomys tridecemlineatus contig085037, whole genome shotgun sequence.
AUGGCUGUGGCUCAGUGAUAACAGCACUUGCCUAGCAUGCAUGAGGCCCUGGGUUCAAUCCCCAGCACAUAUC